rnacentral:rRNA from 1 species
AUUGAACGCUGGCGGCAGGCUUAACACAUGCAAGUCGAGCGGAGUGAUGGUGCUUGCACUAUCACUUAGCGGCGGACGGGUGAGUGAUGCUUAGGAAUCUGCCAUUUAGUGGGGGACAACAUUCCGAAAGGAAUGCUAAUACCGCAUACGUCCUACGGUAGAAAGCAGGGGAUCGUCGGACCUAGCGCUAAAUCAUGAGCCUAAGUCGGAUUAGCUAGUGGGUGGGGUAAAGGCCGACCAAGGCUACGAUCUGGAGCGGGUCUGAGAGGAUGAUCCGCCACACUGGGACUGAGACACGGCCCAGACUCCUACGGGAGGCAGCAGUGGGGAAUAUUGGACAAUGGGCGGAAGCCUAAUCCAGCCAUGCCGCGUGUGUGUAGAAGGUCUUUUAGUUGUAAAGCACUUUAAGCGAGGAGGAGGCUACUAGUACUAAUACUACUGGAUAGUCGACGUGACACGCAGAAUAAGCACCGGCUAACUCUGUGCCAGCCGCCGCCGUAACAC